rnacentral:rRNA from 2 species
CGAGCUUCCGUUGAAUGACGUGCUUGCACUGAUUUCAACAAUGAAGCGAGUGGCGAACUGGUGAGUAACACGUGGGGAAUCUGCCCAGAAGCAGGGGAUAACACUUGGAAACAGGUGCUAAUACCGUAUAACAACAAAAUCCGCAUGGAUUUUGUUUGAAAGGUGGCUUCGGCUAUCACUUCUGGAUGAUCCCGCGGCGUAUUAGUUAGUUGGUGAGGUAAAGGCCCACCAAGACGAUGAUACGUAGCCGACCUGAGAGGGUAAUCGGCCACAUUGGGACUGAGACACGGCCCAAACUCCUACGGGAGGCAGCAGUAGGGAAUCUUCCACAAUGGACGAAAGUCUGAUGGAGCAAUGCCGCGUGAGUGAAGAAGGGUUUCGGCUCGUAAAACUCUGUUGUUAAAGAAGAACACCUUUGAGAGUAACUGUUCAAGGGUUGACGGUAUUUAACCAGAAAGCCACGGCUAACUACGUGCCAGCAGCCGCGGUAAUACGUAGGUGGCAAGCGUUGUCCGGAUUUAUUGGGCGUAAAGCGAGCGCAGGCGGUUUUUUAAGUCUGAUGUGAAAGCCUUCGGCUUAACCGGAGAAGUGCAUCGGAAACUGGGAGACUUGAGUGCAGAAGAGGAC